AAAAUCCGGCAUCAGAGCUGAAACCUGAAAGUACGGGGGAACCUGAGAGCGAGGGUAACCAUACUCCCGAGAAAAUGGGCUAAACUCAUGUUGGCGGUACCCGUACCGCAAACCGACACAGGUAGUUGGGUAGAACAUACUAAGGCGUUGAGAGAUUCAUGGCUAAGGAACUAGGCAAACUGACCCCGUAACUUCGGGAUAAGGGGUCCUCACCUCCGGGUGAGGCGCAGAGAAUAGGUCCAGGCAACUGUUUAACAAAAACACAGGGCUGUGCGAACUCGAAAGAUGAAGUAUACAGCCUGACACCUGCCCGGUGCCGGAAGGUUAAGAGGAGAUGUCACCGCAAGGGAAGCAUUGAAUUGAAGCCCCGGUAAACGGCGGCCGUAACGAUAACGGUCCUAAGGUAGCGAAAUUCCUUGUCGGGUAAGUUCCGACCUGCACGAAUGGUGUAAUGAUCCGGACGCUGUCUCGGCCAUGAGCUCAGUGAAAUUGUAGUAUCGGUGAAGAUGCCGAUUACCCGCGAUGGGACGAAAAGACCCCGUGAACCUUUACUACAGCUUAGCAUUGACCUUGGUCAUCCGAUGUGUAGGAUAGGCCGGAGGCUUCGAAGCGGCGUCGCCAGGCGAUGUGGAGCCAUCCUUGAAAUACGGCCCUUUGGCUGUCUGAGGUCUAACGCGGAUAGUCGCGGACACUGCUUGGUGGGUAGUUUGACUGGGGUGGUCGCCUCCAAAAGCGUAACGGAGGCUUCCAAAGGUGCCCUCGGGCCGUUUGGUAAGCGGCCUUCAAGAGUGCAAUGGCAAAAGGGCGCUUGACUGGGAGGGAGACAUCCCGAGCAGGCAGGAAACUGGGGCAUAGUGAUCCGGCGGAUGUGUAUGGAAACUCCGUCGCUCAAAGGAUAAAAGGUACUCCGGGGAUAACAGGCUGAUCCCCCCCAAGAGCUCAUAUCGACGGGGUGGUUUGGCACCUCGAUGUCGGCUCGUCACAUCCUGGGGCUGGAGAAGGUCCCAAGGGUUGGGCUGUUCGCCCAUUAAAGUGGCACGCGAGCUGGGUUCAGAACGUCGUGAGACAGUUCGGUCUCUAUCUAUCGUGGGCGCAGGAGUUUUGAGUGGUGCUGUCACUAGUACGAGAGGACCGUGACGGACAGACCUCCGGUGUACCGGUUGUGCCGCCAGGCGCACCGCCGGGUAUCCGCGUCUGGAUCGGAUAAGCGCUGAAAGCAUCUAAGUGCGAAGCUUUCCACGAGAUUAGAACUCCAUUGAGGGUCGUCGCAGACGACGACGUUGAUAGGGCGCAGGUGUAAAGACGGCGACGUCAAAGCCGAGCGCUACUAAUUGCCC
rnacentral:rRNA from 1 species